rnacentral:rRNA from 1 species
UACGAAGGGGGCAAGCGUUGUUCGGAAUGACUGGGCGUAAAGGGCGCGUAGGCGGUUCGUUGCGUCAGAUGUGAAAGCCCCGGGCUCAACCUGGGAACUGCGUCCGAUACUGGCAGGCUUGAAUCCGGGAGAGGGAUGCGGAAUUCCAGGUGUAGCGGUGAAAUGCGUGGAUAUCUGGAGGAACACCGGUGGCGAAGGCGGCAUCCUGGACCGGCAUUGACGCUGAGGCGCGAAAGCCAGGGGAGCAAACGGG